UGGGGUGUAGCUGAGCUGGUAAUAGCGCCCGACUGUUAAUCGGGAGAUCGCAGGUUCGAGUCCUGCCGCCCCAG
rnacentral:tRNA from 1 species